rnacentral:rRNA from 1 species
GACGUAGGGCGCGAGCGUUGUCCGGAUUAUUGGCGUAAAGAGCUCGUAGGCGGCUUGUCGCGUCGUCCGUGAAAACCUGCAGCUCAACUGCAGGCUUGCGGUCGAUACGGGCAGGCUAGAGUUCGGUAGGGGAGACUGGAAUUCCUGGUGUAGCGGGUGAAAUGCGCAGAUAUCAGGAGGAACACCGGUGGCGAAGGCGGGUCUCUGGGCCGAUACUGACGCUGAGGAGCGAAGCGUGGGGAGCGAACAGG